rnacentral:lncRNA from 1 species
AGUUGUUUAAAAUAUAUCAGUACUUUAUGUAAAAAUUUAAUUUGUUUGGACGGUCUGAUCAUAAAAUAUGAACUGUUAAAGUUUGAAAAAAAUUUCAUCUUAAGGAUAUAUAAGGUUUUAGAAUAUUUUAUCACAUUUUAGGUGAUCUUUGGUACUUAGGACUUAUGUAUUGAUGUUAUUGUUCCUAUAGGGACAAUUUUAUAUAUAAACUUGGUACUUUUUUUUUUUAUCUUAAGACAUAGUUGAAUAAUAAGUAAUAGCUAAAAGAUCAACAUUUUUUUAAGGUAGAUUCUUUCUAUCCUGAUAUAUUAUUACUUAUACUAAAAAAGCCUUAAGGUAUUAAAUUUUUUGACAAGUCAAGAUGGAGGAUCAAAUUUCAGUGUAUGCAUUACCAAGUAGGAUGGAUGUCCAUGAUUUAUUUAAGGUAUUUUCUCAAUUUAUGGAAGAGAAGCAAUAAAUGCCUCGAGAGUGUAAAAAUA